CAAAAACAAAGAGAAGGAAAACAAGAAUGUGUUCUUGGAGGCCAAGGCUGUCCUGUCCAACUCAACAGAUUUGCCAGAACCAAGGCUUAGAAAAAUCCAGAGCAGCUGAAGGUCAGCUCUGUAAAAGGACCUCAUGUCAUUUCACUGGCUUGUGCAGAUAUUUUAAAAUUACCCUAGUACACAACUUAUACAUCUG